UACGAAGGGGGCUAGCGUUGCUCGGAAUCACUGGGCGUAAAGCGCACGUAGGCGGACUCUUAAGUCGGGGGUGAAAUCCUGGAGCUCAACUCCAGAACUGCCUCGAUACUGGGAGUCUUGAGUUCGGGGAGAGGUGAGUGGAACUGCGAGUGUAGAGGUGAAAUUCGUAGAUAUUCGCAAGAACACCAGUGGCGAAGGCGGCUCACUGGCCCGAUACUGACGCUGAGGCACGAAAGCGUGGGGAGCAAACAGGG
rnacentral:rRNA from 1 species